UGCGAGAGGUUCGCUGUUGGUAGUGAUGCCUGACUUUGAAUCAGGUUGCCGCUGGUUCGAUUCCAGCUCUCGCAGCC
rnacentral:tRNA from 1 species